rnacentral:rRNA from 1 species
UACGUAGGGUGCAAGCGUUAAUCGGAAUUACUGGGCGUAAAGCGUGCGCAGGCGGUGAUGUAAGACAGUUGUGAAAUCCCCGGGCUCAACCUGGGAACUGCAUCUGUGACUGCAUCGCUGGAGUGCGGCAGAGGGGGAUGGAAUUCCGCGUGUAGCAGUGAAAUGCGUAGAUAUGCGGAGGAACACCGAUGGCGAAGGCAAUCACCUGGGCCUGCACUGACGCUCAUGCACGAAAGCGUGGGGAGCAAACAGG